AGAGUUUGAUCCUGGCUCAGGACGAACGCUGACGGUGUGCUUUAGACAUGCAAGUCGAACGAGAAAGCCCUUCGGGGUGAGUACAGUGGCGAACGGGUGAGUAACACGUGGGCAAUCUGCCCCUCGCAGGGGGACAACCGGGGGAAACCCCGGCUAAUACCCCGUACGCUUGCGGAGCCGCAUGGUUCCGCAAGGAGAGGUAGCUUCGGCCAUCCGGCGAGGGAUGAGCCCGCGGUACAUUAGCUAGUUGGUGGGGUAACGGCCCACCAAGGCUACGAUGUAUAGCUGGUCUGAGAGGAUGAUCAGCCACACUGGGACUGAGACACGGCCCAGACUCCUACGGGAGGCAGCAGUCGGGAAUCUUGCGCAAUGGGCGAAAGCCUGACGCAGCAACACCGUGUGAGCGAUGAAGGCCUUCGGGUCGUAAAGCUCUGUUGUUGGGGACGAAGGGCGAGGGGUUAAUAGCCCCGAGCUUGACGGUACCCUUCGAGGAAGCCCCGGCUAACUACGUGCCAGCAGCCGCGGUAAUACGUAGGGGGCGAGCGUUGUCCGGAAUUAUUGGGCGUAAAGAGCGUGUAGGCGGUUCGGUAAGUCUGCUGUGAAAACCCAGGGCUCAACCCUGGGCGUGCAGUGGAUACUGCCGGGCUAGAGGGUGGUAGAGGCGAGUGGAAUUCCCAGUGUAGCGGUGAAAUGCGCAGAUAUUGGGAGGAACACCAGUAGCGAAGGCGGCUCGCUGGGCCAUACCUGACGCUGAGACGCGAAAGCUAGGGGAGCGAACAGGAUUAGAUACCCUGGUAGUCCUAGCCGUAAACGAUGAACACUAGGUGUGGGCGGAGUCGAAUCUGUCUGUGCCGAAGCCAACGCGAUAAGUGUUCCGCCUGGGGAGUACGGCCGCAAGGCUGAAACUUAAAGGAAUUGACGG
rnacentral:rRNA from 1 species